rnacentral:sRNA from 1 species
UGCGCCUGCUGAGGGCAAGGCACCGAGCAUUGAUUGGCUUCGCAGGCAGCCGCUUUGUGCAAGGUCCGGUAGAUACCUGAAUUUCAGGUAUUUGAUGAUUUC